GAUGAACGCUGGCGGCGUGCCUAAUACAUGCAAGUCGAGCGAACAGAUGAGGAGCUUGCUUCUCUGAUGUUAGCGGCGGACGGGUGAGUAACACGUGGAUAACCUACCUAUAAGACUGGGAUAACUUCGGGAAACCGUAGCUAAUACCGGAUAAUAUAUUGAACCGCAUGGUUCAAUAGUGAAAGACGGUCUUGCUGUCACUUAUAGAUGGAUCCGCGCUGCAUUAGCUAGUUGGUAAGGUAACGGCUUACCAAGGCAACGAUGCGUAGCCGACCUGAGAGGGUGAUCGGCCACACUGGAACUGAGACACGGUCCAGACUCCUACGGGAGGCAGCAGUAGGGAAUCUUCCGCAAUGGGCGAAAGCCUGACGGAGCAACGCCGCGUGAGUGAUGAAGGUCUUCGGAUCGUAAAACUCUGUUAUUAGGGAAGAACAAAUGUGUAAGUAACUGUGCACAUCUUGACGGUACCUAAUCAGAAAGCCACGGCUAACUACGUG
rnacentral:rRNA from 1 species